UUAACAAACUCUUUUCAUACAAUUACAUGGAUGACUUGUGAGAUCUAUACUGGAAUACGUGUUAUCUCUCUUAUAGCACUUAAGAUGCUGUAUUGCAGUUUUGGUGGGGUUUUUUUCCUCCUUGAAUCUGUUGAGCCCAAGAAACUUUUCUUUUUUAGAUCUAUUUCUCUAGUACAUAGCAUAAUGCCUGAAGUAAAGUGGGUGCUUAUAAAAUUAAUUAAUAGGAGUUCCUGUCGUGGCGCAGCAGAAACGAAUCUGACUAGGAACCAUGAGGUUGAGGGUUUGAUUCCCUGGCCUCGCUUACUGAGUUAAGGAUCUGGCGUUGCUGUGGUUAUGGCAUAGGCUGGCAGCUGUAGCUUCGAUUAGACCCCUAGCCUGGGAACCUCCAUAUGCUGUGGUUAAUAAAUAAAUAAAAUUAAUAAAUCAGAGUAGAGAAGUAACUGGUAAAGGUGGACAGAACUGGCCACUGUGAAGCCAGAAAUUUGGGAUAAGUCUUUUGAGCCCUCUAGGUGUCAACAUUUUUUGUUAGAUUCUACAUGACUAGCUGAUUCUAAGAACAAACCAAGACUAGACUAGAUGGUAUCAAAAAAUGAUAAUAAAAAUCAAUUCUGUGUCUACCCUUCUCAUCCAUUCACCCAAGGAGUAUAAAUACAUUCACUCAUUAAUAGAUCCAUUUAUCAAAAACAUGCAUUGAAUACAGGGACCAUCAAAAUGGUUUCUGCUUUUAUUUUGGCAGUGUUUCUAAAAGUGUGGCCCCUGGGUUCUUGUGUCAAAAAGAGGUGUUGAGCUUAAUUAAUACAUAGAUUCCCAGAAUAUUGAGGAAGCAGGGCUUGGGAAUUUCACUUUUAAGCAGGCAGCCUCCAGAUGAUUUUUUUCCCAUUCCCAAAUAUUUUUUGAGCAUCUUUGAUGGGCCAGGCCUUUACUUGGACCAAAGGAAUAAUGAAAGUUGGUUAUAUUUCGUUUUGGGCUGCUAUAACAAAAUACCAUAGAUUAGAUGGUUUACAAACAACAUAAAUUUAUUUCUCAUAGUUGUAGAGGCUGGGAAGUCUCAGAUCCAGGUGCCUACAGAUGUAGAGUCUGCUUCCUCACAGAGAGCCAUCUUCUCAUUUGUAUCCUCCAAUGGCAGAAAGGACAAGCUAGCUCUUUGGGGUCUUUUCUAUAACAGGUCAUAAUCUCAAUCAUGAAAGCUUCACCCUUAUGACCUAGUCACCUCUAAAAGACUUCAUCGCCUUGGAGAUUAGAAUUUCAACAUAGGAAUUUGAGGGACAGAGGGCACAAACAUUCAGUUCAUAUCAACAUGAGACAAAUCCACUCUCAUAAAUGAACAUAAAGUAAUUUAGGUUAAAUGUAAGAUGUCAGAAAAGCUGAGGGGGUGGAAGGAAUUAAGGACAGAGCCCAGUUUAUGAAGAAAAAGAAAUAGUAUCCAAUAGCUGGUUAGACAGAGGUUCUAGACAUUUACAGAUGUUGUUAGUGAUCUCUCAAUGAAAAAGGCCAAGAGGUGUUCCUGUUGCGGCUCAGUGGUCAUGUACCUGACUAGUAUCCAUGAGGAUGUGGGUUCAAUCCCUGGCCUUGUUCAGUGGGUUAAGGUAUCCAGCAUUGCCAUGAGCUGUGGUGUAAGUCACGGAUGUGGCUUGGAUCCUAUGUUGUGGCUGUGGUGUAGGCUGGGGGCUACAGCUCUGAUUUGACCCCUAGCCUGGGAAUUUCCAUAUGUUGAGGGUAUGGCUAAGAAAGAAAGAAAGAAAGAAAGAAAGAAAGAAAGAAAGAAAGAAAGAAAGAAAGAAAGAAAGAAAGAAAGAAAGAAAGAAAGGAAGGAAGGAAGGAAGGAAGGAAGGAAGGAAGGAAGGAAGGAAGGAAGGAAGAAAGAAAGAAAGAAAGAAAGAAAAGGAAGAAAAGAAAGAAAGAAAGAAAGAAAAAGUCCCAGAAAAGUUGUUUAGAAUACUUAGUCUUCUAGUAUGCACAUCACUGGCUUCUACAGUCAACAGCAUAUCAGCAGAGUUAUUAUUUAUCUCUCUCCCCUCCCCAAGCUUUUUUUUUUCUUUGCUAAAAUAUUUUAAAACAAAUCUUUGACAUCAUGUCAUUUCACCUCUAAAUAUUCCAACAUGUAUCUCAAAGAAAGAUGGAUUUGGGUGUGGGCUGGGCAUAGUGAUGUGUUCCAAAGCAUAAAGCAUGAAAGGGAGACAAAGUGACUUUACAGUAGAGGAAUGUAGCAGACUAGCUUGGCCAAGUCAUCAAGCUUAACAUGAUCAGUGAUAAGUCAUUGAUAGAAUGUACUUCUGACAAGAUAUAAGGAGAAAGGUACUAGUAAAAUUUUAGUAAAGUAUGUUGUUUAGUUAAUAGUAAUGUGCUAAUAUUCAUUCUUUAGUUGUGAUAAAUAUACUAGAGUAACACAAGAUGUUCAUAGUUGGGGAACCUUAGUAUGGGGUAUAUAGGAAUUAUAUACUAUCUUUACAACUUUUUGGUAGACCUAAAACAAUUCUAAAUUUGUAAGUUUAUUAUAAAAAUGGAGGAGUGUAAUAAAUUGAAUAAGCUAGAAGAAAUGUAUAUGCCAAAGUUCGAUUUGCUGGUAUUCUCAUAAUACUAGCAAACCAAAUUCAAAAGCUUGUUAAAAAAAUCAUACACUAUGGGAGUAACCUGUGGUCUAGUGGUAAUGAUCUGGGCACUGCUGUAGCCCAGGUUCAAUCUCUGGUCUGUGAACUGAGAGCCCACAUCAAUCUGCUGCAUAUCGCAGCCAAAAAAAAAAAUCAUACACCAUAGUCAACUGGGAUUUGGGAUUUAUCCCUAGAAUGCAGGAAUAGUUCAAUAGAUCCAGAUAAAUAAAUGUGAUAUACAACAUUAACAAAAUGAGAGAUAAAAACCAUUUGAUUAUCUCAGUAGAUGAAAAGCAUUUAGCAAAAUAAAAUAUCCUAUGAUAAAGAAAAAUCUCAAAAACUUAGGUAUAGAAGGAAAAUACCCCAACAUAAUAAAGGUCACAUGUGACAAGCCCACAGUUAACAUCACACUUAACAGUGAAUAUUUAAGACAAGCGGGUGAUAUCUACAACAACAAAAUAUCUAAAAAUGAAAUUAAACUGUCCCAUUUACAAUAGCAUCAAAAACAAUAAAACACUUAGGAAUAAAUUUAACCAAGCAUGUGAAAGAUCUAAACACUGAACACUACUAAGAUUUUAAUGAAACAAAUAUAAAAAGGUACAACAAAAUGGCAAGCUAUCCUGUGUUCAUGGAUCAGAAGAAUUUAAUAUUGGUGAAGUGUCCAUGCUACUCAAAAUCAUCUAUAGGUUCAGUGCAAAUUCUAUCAAAAUUCUAAUGACAUUUUUUACAGAAAUUGAAAAUAAAAUUCUAAAAUUUACGUGGAGCAACAGAAGACCCUGAAUAGCCAAAGCAAUCCUGAGAAAGAAGAGCAAAGCUGGAGAUACCAUGCUUCCUGAUUUCAAACUAUAUUACAAAGCUUUAUUAAUCAAAAAAGUAUGAUACUGUUUUAAAAUCAGGCCCACCAGACCUGUGUUUAGGGAGACAAAGAUAGGUCAAGUUUGAACUUAGGAACAUAUAGUGCAAGGAACUUUGCAAUAUUACAAUUUCCAUUUUACAAAUAGGAAACUGAGAAUUAGGUAAAUAAUGCCUCCAGAGUAAUAUUCAGCUUGUAUCUAUUCAGUCAGGUUUCCACACAAGGCUUGCCUGAAUUUAAAACUCACAGUUUUUUUUUUUUUUCUUCAAAUUACACUGCUGGUCUUUACACUGUGCAUAAGGGAACCACCUAGGCAUGGUUGGCUCUAGCAGUGUGGGGGUAAGUAGUACCUUCAGCCCAUUAGUUGUAUAUAUUUAUAUGAUUUCUUCUUUAGAAUUUUGCAGUUACUCUGUGGCAAUGAAAUAGAGGGUUUUUCUCCUUAAACGUCUUUACUAUGAUCGACCCACAACCUUGGUGGCAUUCUUCCUGCACCUGAGAAAGCAUGAUGGCUUUCAAAAGGUUUGGGGACACUAGUUUAGAUCUGAAACCUCUAUGUAUAGGGUGGUAUCUGUAUACAUUUUUGAAUGUCUAAUUAUUAAUACACUAUUAAUGCAUAAUUACACUUUAAACUACCAUGAAUACAUCUUCUCAAAUGGCUUUGAACUGACCUUCCAUUUAAAAUAUUUUUUAAAGAAAGCUUAUUUGGUUGGUAGAUACAAACUAUUGCAGUUGGAAUGGGUAAGAGUGAGAUCCUGUUGUAUAGCACAGGGAACUGUAUCUAAUCACUUGUGAUGGAACAUGAUAGAGGAUAAUGUGAGAAAAAGAAUGUACGUAUAUGUAUAACAGGGUCACUUGGCUGUAUAGCAGAAAUUGACAGAACAUUGUAAAUCAACUAUAACAAAAAAAAUUUUUUUAACCUAAGAGCUGAUUUAAAAUUUCUGAAUGUUUUCAGAUAUGAUUUUGAGUUUAUCAUAAUGUAAAAAUAUUAUAAUUUUAAUUAAGGAUUGAACUUUAAUAUCUUGGAUUUCGAGAUUGGCCCUAUCUUCUAGUCAUUCACUUGGUGACUUGGUGAAACCAUGUCAGACUGCACUCUGAUGGCUGCAACAGGAGACUGUUGGAACAUUUAAAACCUGGGCAUCCAAAAUCAAACGAGAAAUCUACUGUAUUAUUGCUGAGCUAACUUGGGGGUAGAAAUCACGUCUUCCAUAGCUGAGACAUAUCUUACACAUGUGGAAAAAUAUUCCCAUCUCCAGUUUGUUUGUUUUUUUUGAAAAAUCAAAUGGUGAAAAAAGUGAUUACAAAAAAACAAUUCCCCCUGUACGCUUUACACUUCAAAAACGAUAUCACUUUCAUUACUGAGUCAUUCAAACUUCCUAAGUCUUGCUUUUUAAGUGAAAUGACCAAUCACUAACCUAUUUUCUUUUCCAUCCCACCAUCGACAGCAAGAUCAACAACUCAGAAAUAGUCUUUGGUGAAACUGCAAAGUAGGCGAGGUUCUUCUGUGGCUUUCUUCUCCCUUCCUCUCGUUGUCUCCCGGUUCCUCUGAGCCCAUGGACUAUGUGGGAUAUUUUGAUCCCCAAGGCUAUUCUUCCUUAAAGAAUCCAGAACCAAAAUUACUCUUUCCUUCCCUUUCUGACAAACCCCCAUCUUUUCCUGCUUCUGACCUCAACUGGGUGCUGCAGUCUGUCCUUUCAUUUAUUUCUAGUUCACGCCUUAUCACAUUCCCCAGCUUCUGGUCCCAGUGUUUUCCUGCCUUCCAGCUUCCAUCACACACACCCAACCUGGCAAUCUAUGGAGGCAGGCAGCUGGUUUGCUGCCACUCACAACGUGUUCUAUGUAAAUGGAGUCCCCAGAGUUGUGCCCAGUGAACAGAGUGGGAAUGAAGCGCCAAGGUGUGGAAAGUCACUGAGGCCACCCAAAAGGAAAGCCCACAGCUGAACUCCAGUCCUCAUCAAGACUUCAUUUCUGCCUCCACCUUAGCAUCUUCAUUCACUGUAAAGUGCACCAUGUGGAUUUAGAUAGACCUGGGUUUGGAUGGUGACAUUGCCACUUCCUAGCCACACAACCUUUGGAAAGUUACUUAAGUUUUCUUAGAAGAAUGGAAUAGGGAGUUCCCAUCGUGGCACAGUGGAAACAAAUCUGACUAGGAACCAUGAGGUUGUGGGUUUGAUCCCUGGCCUCGCUAAGUGGGUUAAGGAUCUGGCAUUGCAGUGAGU
rnacentral:lncRNA from 1 species